ensembl:lncRNA
CUUUUAGAUUGUGUCAAAUAUUAAAGCACUAAUAAUAUGAACCUAGUUUUAAUUUAGAAAAGCAAUUAAGAUAUGAUUUAAGCCCCAUGAAUGGGUGUAAUUUAAAUACCUGCAGUAGAAUACAGGUGAAUUUCUGAGUCAAGACAUAUAAUAAGAGGUAAGUGAAAGAAAAUACAAUGAGUUAGACAAUGCUUGUGUAUUUCUGAAUGUUCUGUUUUUGACUUUCUGCUCUGAGUUUUAACUUAGCUCUAGCAGAUAUUUUUUUUUUUUUUUGGAAGAGCCUAAUAGAAUUAAAAAUUAUCUAAUUAAUACAAAGCAUAAAUUAGUCCAUUUGAUGCCCUUCUUGUUCUGGCACUGCCAGUUAAGUCAUUCUUGUCAGUGGAACAAUCUCUCUUCUGAGUCUGGAAAUAUUUCUUUUUAAUGAUUCUACCUAGAACAGAAAGAUAGCAUCACAGGCACAUUGAAUGUGUUAAGAAUUAGUUUGUAUGUUGUUGUUUUUUUUUUUUUGUCACGAUACUUGCAUCAAUAAAAAUAGUAUCAACCUCAUUUCUUGCAGAUGUAUCUGAUGUUUUGGUCUUCAAAAUAUACUGUUUGUUUGAAAGAAAAUAUCCUAGUUUGGGCCCUAAUCCUGUACUCAUUUACAACACAUUUGCACAUAAUGAAGUGUGACAGCACCUAAUACACAACGUGCAAACCUGGCAAUACUGCAUUUGUAACCUAGCAACCACCCAAACGAAUGGAAACAUCAGCUUUCUCUCUUCUGUCUGGAUUUACAGUCAGAGAAGGAAUGAAAAGGCCAAAUAUGCUACUACUCUGUAAAACCAAGUUUAGGCUCACUCCAAAAUACAUGUGCGCUAGUCCAAAUCAGUAGGAGGAGGUGAGUGAAAACCUGUUUCUGUAAAAUGGAAAGGAGCAAACAGAAGAAUAGAUAGUAUUCUGCAAGUAUGAAAAAUGGUACUGAAAAGAAUAUGGGAAAGUACCAUUCUCCAGAUACUAGGAAAAUGCUUCUUUCUGUGAAGAUAUUAAAUCUUUGAAAAUUAUUGCCAAGCAAAGAUGUAGAAUUUCUGUUCCUGGAUUUUUAUUUUAUUUUUUUUACCGCUUUUGGUGUUGGUUGGUUGACUUUAUUUAUUUUUUUUAAUUUUUUUUAGAAAAAAGGUACUUGAACUUUUUUAGGAAUUAUUUUUGCAAUGGGAAAAUUGAUUUCUUGGUGUUCCUUCUUGUUGAAUACUGUAUGAGUUUCUCCCUCUAGGUCUCCUCUAGUCCUUUACUUCUUCCUGUCGCUUAUUUGUUCUCAGCUUAACUGGAUUGUCCCUUAAAACCAGGAAAGUUUUAAGGGAAGAAAAUAUAUACAAUGUACCCCUGUAUACAACACUGGAUAAAAACGUAAAUGAGUUUUCAUCAAAACUAAUGCUUGUACAGCUUCAAAUUCCUUCAAUAUUAUCUUACUCUUCUUUCCUGUUUUUAGUCUAAAAUAUGAUAUUUUGACAAGCACGGCAAAGUAAACUGAUGUGCUUAGCCCUGUCUGAUGUAUGCACAACUCCCUCAUGCUGUAUAUGUAAGUAGAGAUAUUCUUUAUAAUAAGUGACAGUGAAACGACAUAUAAAAGAGAUGUUUCUACAUAGAUUUAACAUCUGGAUUUAUUUUUCCAUUUAUGGAUGUAUUUAUUUUGAUAUUUUACUUAGGGUCAAUUCUUACUGAAGUUAAAAGAUUUUAAAUAAACACUAUAGUAUUUAAAUAAUA